rnacentral:snRNA from 1 species
AGCUUUGUGCAGUGGCAGUAUCACAGCCAGUGAGGUUUAUCCGAGGUGUGGUUUUUGCUGAUUGAAAAGAAUGCCGUGACACCAUGUUCACUGUGAGUCUUGAAAAAGUGUGCAGAGAAAGGGUUGUACUGUUACAGGUACC